rnacentral:lncRNA from 1 species
AUGGCCCAGUAUGACCCAGUAUGGCCCAGUAUAGCCCAGUAUGGCCCAGUAUGGCCCAGUAUGACCCAGUAUAGCCCAGUAUGGCCCAGUCCCUCCCAGUACACCCCCAGUAUAUCCCAUUAUAUCCCAGUCCCCUCCCAGUUCCUCCCAGUCUCUCCCACUAUAUCCCAGUAUAUCCCAGUAUAUCCCAGUCCGCUCCUAUUGUCUCCCAGUAUAUCCCAGUAUAUCCCAGUCCCCUCCUGUUGUCUCCCAGUAUAUCCCAGUAUAUCCCAGUAUAUCCCAGUAUAUCCCAGUCCCCUCCUAUUGUCUCCCAGUAUAUCCCAGUAUAUCCCAGUUUAUCCCAGUAUAUCCCACUAUAUCCCAGUAUAUCCCAGUAUUAUCCCAGUUCCCUCCUAUUGUCUCCCAGUAUAUCCCAGUAUAUCCCAGUCCCUCCCAUUCCCUCCCAGUAUCUCCCAGUAUCUCCCAUUCCCUCCCAUUCCCUCCCAGUAUCUCCCAUCCCCUUCCCAGUAUCUCCCAGUAUCUCCCAGUAUCUCCCCCGUAAAUCUCCCCAUUCCCUCCCAGUCCCUCCCAGUAAUGCUCCCAGUAUCUCCCAUUCCCUCCAAAUCCCUCCCAGUAUCCUACCAGUAUCUCCCAGUAUCUCCCAGUACUCCCAAUUCCUCGCCAGUCAUCUCCAGUACCUCCAGUAUCUUCCCAUUCCUCCCAGUGAUCUCCCAUAUCUCCCAUUCCCUCCCAUCCCCUCACCAGUUAUCUCCCAGUAUCUCCCAUUCCUCCCAGUUAUCUCCCAGUAUCUCCCAGUAUCUCCACAUAUCUCCCAUUCCCUCCAGUAUCUCCCAAUUCCCUCCCAGUAUCGUCCCAGUAUCUCCCAUUCCCCCCCAGUAAUCUCACCAGUAUCUCCCAGAGUCUCCCAUUCCCUCCACGUAUCUCCCAUUCCCUC